UUGUUGACCAAUUGCCAAAUUAUCAAGAAUGAAGGAAAGCUUGUGCCUUUAUAUUAGAAACAGAAGUACUGGUCACAAAAAACUACACCCUUCUUCUACUUUGUUUUCUGCAACCUUUCGUGCUAAAGAAAAACUUCUGAUUUAGCAUGCACGAUUUCUAGCAAGUAGUUGUUUCAAUUUCAGCUCCGUUCACUAGUUCAGCAUAUUUGGGGUUGAUGGAUUCAUGCUAAGGAAUUGCUUUACUUCAAGAUGGCUAGCUGCCAUGGAAGCAAUCAUUCUACUGAAAGCAAUUUUUACAUUUUCUUCUCUGUUGUACAAAUGUUCCUUUUCUUUCAUGUAAAAAAUAAUAUUAUAAGCAGAAGGUGAAUAAAUGUAAUCCCCAGAAACUGGUAUCUUCAU